GAUGAACGCUAGCGGCAGGCUUAAUACAUGCAAGUCGAACGGUAAGGUUUCUUCGGAGACACACGAGUGGCGCACGGGUGCGUAACGCGUAUGCAACCUACCUAUAACUGGGGAAUAGCCCCGAGAAAUCGGGAUUAAUACUCCAUAACAUCCUUUAGAUGCCUAUCUGAGGGAUUAAAGCUCCGGCGGUUAUAGAUGGGCAUGCGUGGCAUUAGCUAGUUGGUGAGGUAACGGCUCACCAAGGCGACGAUGCCUAGGGGUCCUGAGAGGGUUAACCCCCACACUGGUACUGAGACACGGACCAGACUCCUACGGGUGGCUG
rnacentral:rRNA from 1 species